AUUGAACGCUGGCGGCAUGCCUUACACAUGCAAGUCGAACGGCAGCACGGGAGCAAUCCUGGUGGCGAGUGGCGAACGGGUGAGUAAUAUAUCGGAACGUGCCCAGUCGUGGGGGAUAACGUAGCGAAAGCUACGCUAAUACCGCAUACGAUCUAUGGAUGAAAGCGGGGGAUCGCAAGACCUCGCGCGAUUGGAGCGGCCGAUAUCAGAUUAGGUAGUUGGUGGGGUAAAGGCUCACCAAGCCGACGAUCUGUAGCUGGUCUGAGAGGACGACCAGCCACACUGGGACUGAGACACGGCCCAGACUCCUACGGGAGGCAGCAGUGGGGAAUUUUGGACAAUGGGCGCAAGCCUGAUCCAGCAAUGCCGCGUGCAGGAUGAAGGCCUUCGGGUUGUAAACUGCUUUUGUACGGAGCGAAAAGGCUUCCACUAAUACUGGGGGCUCAUGACGGUACCGUAAGAAUAAGCACCGGCUAACUACGUGCCAGCAGCCGCGGUAA
rnacentral:rRNA from 1 species